GACGAACGCUGGCGGCGUGCUUAACACAUGCAAGUCGAGGGGCAGCAUAGGGUAGCAAUACUCUGAUGGCGACCGGCAAACGGGUGAGUAACGCGUAUGCAACCUACCCUGUACAGGGGGAUAACCCGGAGAAAUUCGGACUAAUAUCCCGUAAUAAUAUCCGGAGGCAUCUUUGGAUAUUUAAAGUUCCGACGGUACGGGAUGGGCAUGCGUAACAUUAACUGGUUGGUAAGGUAACGGCUUACCAAGGCUAUGAUGUUUAGGGGUCCUGAGAGGGUGGUCCCCCACACUGGUACUGAGACACGGACCAGACUCCUACGGGAGGCAGCAGUGAGGAAUAUUGGUCAAUGGGCGCAAGCCUGAACCAGCCAUCCCGCGUGCAGGAAGACGGCCCUAUGGGUUGUAAACUGCUUUUCCAGGGAGAGAAACUUACGCACGUGUUGCGUGACUGACGGUACCCUGGGAAUAAGCAUCGGCUAACUCCGUGCCAGCAACCGCGGUAAAACGUCUACUG
rnacentral:rRNA from 1 species